GAAUUCGCCCUUAGAGUUUGAUCCUGGCUCAGGACGAACGCUGGCGGCGCGCCUAACACAUGCAAGUCGAACGAGCGAGAGAGAGCUUGCUUUCUCGAGCGAGUGGCGAACGGGUGAGUAACGCGUGAGGAACCUGCCUCAAAGAGGGGGACAACAGUUGGAAACGACUGCUAAUACCGCAUAAGCCCACGGGUCGGCAUCGACCAGAGGGAAAAGGAGCAAUCCGCUUUGAGAUGGCCUCGCGUCCGAUUAGCUAGUUGGUGAGGUAACGGCCCACCAAGGCGACGAUCGGUAGCCGGACUGAGAGGUUGAACGGCCACAUUGGGACUGAGACACGGCCCAGACUCCUACGGGAGGCAGCAGUGGGGGAUAUUGCGCAAUGGGGGAAACCCUGACGCAGCAACGCCGCGUGAAGGAUGAAGGUUUUCGGAUUGUAAACUUCUUUUAUUUAGGACGAAGAAUGACGGUACUAAAUGAAUAAGCUCCGGCUAACUACGUGCCAGCAGCCGCGGUAAAACGUAGGUCACAAGCGUUGUCCGGAAUUACUGGGUGUAAAGGGAGCGCAGGCGGGAAGACAAGUUGGAAGUGGAAUCUAUGGGCUCAACCCAUAAACUGCUUUCAAAACUGUUUUUCUUGAGUAGUGCAGAGGUAGGCGGAAUUCCCGGUGUAGCGGUGGAAUGCGUAGAUAUCGGGAGGAACACCAGUGGCGAAGGCGGCCUACUGGGCACCAACUGACGCUGAGGCUCGAAAGUGUGGGUAGCAAACAGGAUUAGAUACCCUGGUAGUCCACACCGUAAACGAUGAUUACUAGGUGUUGGAGGAUUGACCCCUUCAGUGCCGCAGUUAACACAAUAAGUAAUCCACCUGGGGAGUACGACCGCAAGGUUUGAAACUCAAAGGAAUUGACGGGGGCCCGCACAAGCAGUGGAGUAUGUGGUUUAAUUCGACGCAACGCGAAGAACCUUACCAAGUCUUGACAUCCCUUGACAGGCAUAGAAAUAUGUUUUCUCUUCGGAGCAAGGAGACAGGUGGUGCAUGGUUGUCGUCAGCUCGUGUCGUGAGAUGUUGGGUUAAGUCCCGCAACGAGCGCAACCCUUAUGGUCAGUUACUACGCAAGAGGACUCUGGCCAGACUGCCGUUGACAAAACGGAGGAAGGUGGGGAUGACGUCAAAUCAUCAUGCCCUUUAUGACUUGGGCUACACACGUACUACAAUGGCGUUAAACAAAGAGAAGCAAGACCGCGAGGUGGAGCAAAACUCAGGAACAACGUCCCAGUUCGGACUGCAGGCUGCAACUCGCCUGCACGAAGUCGGAAUUGCUAGUAAUCGUGGAUCAGCAUGCCACGGUGAAUACGUUCCCGGGCCUUGCACACACCGCCCGUCA
rnacentral:rRNA from 1 species